rnacentral:lncRNA from 1 species
CUCUUUUGACUUCUGCUGGAAUCAAUAUUGCAGUCUGUGUGGUGCUGUUCUUUUUGUAUUCCUUAUUGAGGAAACAACCAACUUUUGUAAAUGUCUACUUCAGCCAGAGAUUUGCUCGUCAUGUACGAAAAAGAUACCUUGGUACCUUUUGCUUGAACCGAUUUGUUCCUUCUCCUAGUUGGAUCUUGAAGGCAUGGGAAUCAUCUGAUGAAGAGAUAGUAGCUGCCGGGGGCUUGGAUGCCCUAGUGUUGGUGCGGAUGAUUGUUUUCAGGUGAAAGCUGAACUUUCCGCAUUGUAUUAAUUACUUCCUCUUCUGUCAUGUACGAACAAGACACCUUGGUACCUUUUGCUUUAACCGAUUUGUUCCUUCUCCUAGUUGGAUCUUGAAGGCAUGGGAAGCAUCUGAUGAAGAGAUAGUUGCUGCCGGGGGCUUGGAUGCAUUAGUGUUGGUGCGGAUGAUUGUUUUCAGGUGAAAGCUGAACCUUCCUCAUUGUAUUAAUUACUUCCUCUUCUGUGUUUGCUGAAAAACGUCGAUUUAAUGCCUGAAAUUCAGGGGUGGCAGCAUUUUCUUCCCUCAAGUUCGUUCACGUUCCUACUGAAUUUAUUGUUUUUUUGCGGAAUAUUUCAUCAAGUUGAGGAAUCCACUGAAAAGAUGCUUACUUAUUUCUGAAAAUAUUAUUGCUUGUUUGCAUGGCCUGAUCUUGAAAUAGACACUGUUCUCACUAUAAAGAUGGACAAUCUUGAUUUCAUUAUACUAGCUUUCAUAGAUAUGCUCAAAUGGUGUGUAUUUCCUAGUAAGGAUGCAUGGCAUGUGUCAGAUGGUAAAUUUGUUAGUUGACAGUAUACUGCAUGCCUGUCUUUGUUCCUCC